rnacentral:rRNA from 1 species
UGCCAGCCGCCGCGGUAAUACGAAUGGGGCAAGCGUUGUUCGGAAUCACUGGGCUUAAAGCGUGCGUAGGCGGAUAUUCAAGUCAGGAGUGAAAUCCCAGGGCUCAACCCUGGAACUGCUCUUGAAACUGAAUAUCUAGAAUCCGGUAGAGGUCAGGAGAAUUCCUAGUGUAGAGGUGAAAUUCGCAGAUAUUAGGAGGAAUACCAGUGGCGUAGGCGCCUGACUGGGCCGGUAUUGACGCUGAGGUACGAAAGCGUGGGGAGCAAACAGGAUUAGAUA